rnacentral:pre_miRNA from 1 species
AAUGAAAUUGCUAGGUUAUAUUGUAAGUCUACACUUUAAUUUUGUGAGGAACUGUGAAGUUAUUUUCCAGAGUGGCUUCCAUAGUUCUCAUUUAUUUCCACCAGCAAU